ensembl:lncRNA
AUGAUUCCUGGUACUAUCCACCUUGAUAGGUACAAGGAGAUGCUGGAAUGUUUGAUUCAUCCCAGUGAACUGAGGGAUAGUGAUGCACAACCUUAUUUCAAGCACUGUUUCUUGCAGGCUUUGUUCCAAUGGAAGGAAGUGGACUUAGAAAAUUGAAGAGGAGCAGCAGUGUCAGAGACAUCUAUUAGGCCUGAAGAACAGUGAUGGUAUUUUUUAGAGGAAGUGUGAGAAAUGAGGAAUGAGCAGAAAGCCUGCACCAUCCUGUAAAUUCUUCAAAACAGCGUCCAAGAAAGUGUUUAUUGCAUGACUUUUCUAUUACAAUUAAAUAUAAUGAUGAUGAUGAUAAUGGCAAGGAAGUCCUUAAUUUUAGCACCAUGAGAUAAAAUGCAGAUGACAACUGUUAGGUUGAGAGUAUUUAGUCUUCUUUAUAAAUUGAAACACUCUGCAAAUUCCUAUUGGUGUUGUAUUUAUAUCCUGAACAGAUGGAUUUCCUAGUCAUCCUUGUUGUCACAGCCAGGAUGUUAAGAUUUGAGAAAACCCAGAAAAAUUAAACACCAGGACAAAUGAGUAUCACUGGGGGAGUUUUGUAAUUUCCCUUCAAAGUAUAAUAUAAUAAAAAAAAAAUUGUCCCCUGACUGCUGCA